GGCCUUUAAACUUAACACAAUUAUUGACAACGGAUCUCUUGGCUCACACAUCGAUGAAGAACGCAGCGAAAUGCGAUAAGUAAUGUGAAUUGCAGAUUUCAGUGAAUCAUCGAAUCUUUGAACGCACCUUGCACCUUCUGGUAUUCCGGAAGGUACACCUGUUUGAGUGUCAUUAAAUUCUCAA
rnacentral:rRNA from 1 species